rnacentral:rRNA from 1 species
AGUCGUAACAAGGUCUCCGUAGGUGAACCUGCGGAGGGAUCAUUACACAAAUAUGAAGGCGGGCUGGAACCUCUCGGGGUUACAGCCUUGCUGAAUUAUUCACCCUUGUCUUUUGCGUACUUCUUGUUUCCUUGGUGGGUUCGCCCACCACUAGGACAAACAUAAACCUUUUGUAAUUGCAAUCAGCGUCGGUAACAAAUUAAUAAUUACAACUUUCAACAACGGAUCUCUUGGUUCUGGCAUCGAUGAAGGACGCAGCGAAAUGCGAUAAGUAGUGUGAAUUGCAGAAUUCAGUGAAUCAUCGAAUCUUUGAACGCACAUUGCGCCCUUUGGUAUUCCAAAGGGCAUGCCUGUUCGAGCGUCAUUUGUACCCUCAAGCUUUGCUUGGUGUUGGGCGUCUUGUCUCUAGCUUUGCUGGAGACUCGCCUUAAAGUAAUUGGCAGCCGGCCUACUGGUUUCGGAGCGCAGCACAAGUCGCACUCUCUAUCAGCAAAGGUCUAGCAUCCAUUAAGCCUUUUUUUUCAACUUUUGACCUCGGAUCAGGUAGGGAUACCCGCUGAACUUAAGCAUAUCAAUAAGUCG